GCAAAAGCCAAUUACAGGCUCUUCAAUAGUGACUCCCUAGGGAGCUUUGCAACGCUGGAGAUGUUCUUAACUGUGGUUAGUGUUGCUGGAGCGAGUGGAAGAGUUGUAGUGGAGGCACUUUUAGGGUUUUCGGAAGAAUCAAGAGAUUAUGAGGACCUGGGCAUAUCAACGCUGCCGUCAUACAGCUACAAAUAGGUGCGUUGGUUGAGCUGGGACGAGUGGCUUGAAUCUCUCUUUUCGAAUUCACCUGAUUCUGGCCUCCGCUUUGAGAAGAAGGAUGUCUUCCUGUUGCGGUUGAAGUUACCGAAACGAUUGUUGAAAUUCAGCAAAAAGAUCCUCAGUUUAGAUUGGACAUGAUUUAGAUAAUUGUAAACGAAUCAAUCAAGUGAUGCUUCACUUUCAGAGGAAAUGUUGGCCAUGUUAUAUUGUAUGGCAAUCAUAAGGUAGUGCGACAUGAAUAAGUUAGCUUCACACUAGUGGUCAUGUUUCUGAAGGCUUUUGAAUGGUGUUGCCAAGAAGACAUGGAAGAAAACAGAGGUUUAAAUUGUUGUGGUUGCUGAUGCAAUUAGCAUUCCACGUCCACUGAUUGAUAUUCAUCAUGAGGGAUCUCACCGUGAUCUUCCCACACUUGAGGUUCUUCAUGGUGCAUCAGUUAAGUGUUAGUUGAAGCAAACAUGGUUUAAAGAACAGUAUUGAAUGGAAUCUGGCUGUAGUUUGGAAGUAAUAAGGAACCGGAGUUACUUCUGGCUCUUCCGAACGCAGUCCUUGAUAUGAUUGAGACUCAUGAAGGAGUGAUGUAUGAGAAGGCUAGCCAGAUGCAGUUUUAGGUGGAUGGUGUGUAUUUAGUUUCGGAGUCUAAUUUCAGAGUGCACACACCUGCUUUUAAUUUGUGCUGAAUUAUGCAUUUGAUACUCUCAGUUCCUAGCAUGAAUUCAACGUCGUGUAAAGCUGGAUAUACAAAGUCUUCUGCUUCACCAAAAUUGAGCGUCUGAUGGAUUUCUCAAGUGCUCAAAACUUGAAAGUAUCCAAAUGUUCUUAUCCUGGUUGCCAGGGCAGAGGUUGAACCCCUCUCAUCUCUGUUCACACGGCUUGUCGGAAAUUUCAAAGAAUUAGAACCUCGUCAUGAAAAAGAUUUUGAAGCGGAACUAAAAGUUUCUUGAGCAGAAAAAAAACCAUCUCCAAAGCAAUUCUGGUUGAGCUCCUAUGCAAAUGGCUUGUUGUAUCAGCUUUUGCUAAUAACAGGCUCACGGAUUCUCUCCUCCAUCUUGCACAGCUGACAAAGGACUGCUUUUGAGUUUCAUCACAUUCGGAUACUGCAGAAGAUGUUCUUCUAGUGUUCUUCAAAAUACAAAUAAUCUAUAUAUAAAGCAAGAUGAAUCAUAAGUCAAGCGGCAAAAAAGCUACAACUGAUUAAUGUCGCAAAAUGAAGAGCAAGGAAUUGAAGAAGACAGAUGCUGAUGUCGAAAAUACGAACAAAUGGGUUCUCGCCAAAUCAUGGAACCGGCGUCCGAUUGGAAUGUUGCCUCGAGCUGUUGGGUUUUCUGGCGGGAUGUCAAUAAUGUCGCAGAAAAGGUUCCUGGAUUACUAGGAAGAGAAGAGAAGUGGGAACUAAAACAAUGUAGUGCCAUGAGACCUAUAAAACUCAAUUUUGGUCAAAAUAAUAUAUGCAAGCAGUCGAGAGCAAGUAAUGUGUCUUAUAUUUCAAUACACCGAAACAUGGUAGAACUUUCUCACCUUUCAAUGUAACACUUCGGGUCCGUUGUCAAUGUCCAUUCAAAUCUACAGCAGUGCAAUGAUAUGGUAGAGAAGGUACCGCAGGGGCGACCUGAGAACACAUCAAGCGCAAUACAUAAAUGCUACAUGUGAUCUCAGGUCACUCCUGUGGAACCCCUCUACCGCUUUGGCUUAUCUCUGUACAACUUCCUUGCCUUAGAAUGGUAAUAUAUAGCACAACUUAGAACUUAGUUGUGUACUAUUUUCACUCCAUUGUACUACAUGUUUCUUUCUAGUACAAAUCUUCUUGUUUGACCAUAUACACGUUUAUUUAUUAUAUAUUGGAUUUAAAUGUA